GCCGGGAUAGCUCAGCUGGUAGAGCAGAGGACUGAAAAUC
rnacentral:tRNA from 3 species